GUACUCACUUUGAUAGCCCAUAUACUAAAAUUGGAAUAAUACACAGAAGAUUACCACAGCUCUGAUUCAAAGAAAGACCCACAAAUUCAUGAAGUGUUCCAUAAUGUU